rnacentral:rRNA from 1 species
GAUGAACGCUAGCGGCAGGCCUAAUACAUGCAAGUCGAACGAGAUUAAGAGGCUUGCUUCUUAUGAAAGUGGCGCACGGGUGCGUAACGCGUAUGCAACCUACCUUAAUCAGGGGGAUAGCCCGAAGAAAUUCGGAUUAAGACCGCAUAAAAACACAGGAUAGCAUUAUCCAAUGUUCAAAUAUUUAUCGGAUUAAGAUGGGCAUGCGUGUCAUUAGCUAGUUGGCGGGGUAACGGCCCACCAAGGCGACGAUGACUAGGGGAUCUGAGAGGAUGACCCCCCACACUGGUACUGAGACACGGACCAGACUCCUACGGGAGGCAGCAGUAAGGAAGAUUGGUCAAUGGAGGGAACUCUGAACCAGCCAUGCCGCGUGCAGGAAGACAGCCCUCGGGGUCGUAAACUGCUUUUAGUCGGGAAUAAACCUUUCUACGUGUAGGAAGCUGAAUGUACCGAAGGAAUAAGGAUCGGCUAACUCCGUG